GGACGCGGAACUGCGGAGGAUCCACAGGGCGCUGUCACGGGCGAUGCCGCGGAGGUGGGGCGCCGCCUGGCGCGCGGGAGCAGAGACCUGGAAGCCUGGGACAGGCCGCACAGGGAGCGGGGGGCUCGGCCCAGGGUGGGAGGGGGUCCCCGGGCCCGGCUUCCCCGCAGCCCCUGGGACCGGGCCUUGGAGGGCGCAGGACGCCCUCGGAGCGGCGGUGCCAAACGGAGCCUCAGCUGCUCUGCAUCCCUCAUAAUUCCCCGGCCGGAGCACUUGGUGGAGAAUGAGGUGCCUAAUGAGAGAACUCAUUCCCCUAUCAAAAAAUACCGUGAGUCAUUUUCAGUAGCGAAAAGUUCUCAGGUAAAACUAUUCGUUUGACAUCCGUAUCCACCUGUGUAGGUAGCUUCUUUACUGAAGGUUCUUAGAGGGAAACUUAGAAGUGGGAGGUGGGUUCUGUGUUCUUGAAUGGGAAGACACAUUUUUUAAAAAAUGUGAACUCUUUCUCUGUUUAUCAGUUUUACAUAAGACAAAUGAAAAUAUCAACGUUUUAACAUUUUUGCAUGACACCUGCUGUCUUUUACUAUUGUGACAACAUUUAAAACAAGUUUAUAAUGGAGUGAAAAAACACUUCCUCCUCUAGAUAACAAAAUUUGCUAUUAAUUUCUACAAUUAAUUGUUUGCUAACAGCUGAAAAGACAGAUAAAUGCAUGGAACAGAAGAGGAAAUGCAGAAACAAUGAAAUUGUGUAAGACAUACAUAAGGAUUGAUAAUGUUAACAGUCAUGAAUAGGAAAGAAUGAAUUGUUAAUGGAAAAAAUGCCUGCUGUUUGAAGAAAACUAGUGAAAGUUUAUGUCACAAACAUGAGUUCCUGAUGGAGUACAGAUUGAAAUUUUUACACAUGCAAAUGAGAAAAGUACCAGAAGAGAACACACAUGCUUAUUUUACAGAACUGCUCUACAUUUGGCCUGUGCUAAUGCCUGUGGGGAAGUGGUCACUCUCCUGCUGAGCAGAAAAUGCCAGACUGACAUUUGUGACAAUCAAAACAGUACACCUUUGAUACAGAAUUUGCAAUCUAUUUCUUGAUCUAAUAUGGGCAGACUGUACAUUGCCAGGAAGAGACUUGUGCCAACACUCUGCUAGAACAUGGCGCCAAUCCAAAUCUUAAGGAUAUCUACGGCAACACUGCUCUCCAUUAUGCUGAGUGUAAUGAGAGUACGUCAUUGGCAGAAAAACUGCUUCCCCAUGAUGCAAAUAUUGAAGCACUGGACAAGUGACCCAUUUGGAGCAGCAGUGCCUGACAUUAGCACCUGGGAUCCCGACACCAUUGACAGAAGUGAAUCAAGCAAGUUUGUACCACACAGAGGAAACCUUCACCUCUAUUGGGAAGCUCUGGCAACAGUAUCUCUGAAACUCUUAAUUCCUCAAUUGUUAAUGUUUGCCACAAAACUAUUGUCAAAUGGGGAUUAGGUAAAGUUCAAGACAUUUCUUGAUUAUUAGACAUGAAAUAGUUUUGUAACUUCUCAAAUGCAGAUGGUCAUGUAGUCUUUGUCUUGGGGUACUUCUGGUAAAGCAAAUAUUCUUUAAAAUACAGUUUAAGAAACACUG